rnacentral:rRNA from 1 species
UACGGGGGGGGCAAGCGUUGUUCGGAAUUGCUGGGCGUAAAGGGCUCGUAGGCGGCCAACUAAGUCAUACGUGAAAUCCCCCGGCUUAACCGGGGAACUGCGUCUGAUACUGGAUGGCUUGAGUUCGGGAGAGGGAUGCGGAAUUCCAGGUGUAGCGGUGAAAUGCGUAGAUAUCUGGAGGAACACCGGUGGCGAAGGCGGCGACCUGGGUCGAGACUGACGCUGAGGCGCGAAAGCGUGGGGAGCAAACAGG